rnacentral:rRNA from 1 species
UACGUAGGGUGCAAGCGUUGUCCGGAAUUAUUGGGCGUAAAGAGCUCGUAGGCGGUCUGUCACGUCGGCUGUGAAAACUCGGGGCUCAACCCCGAGCCUGCAGUCGAUACGGGCAGACUAGAGUCCGGCAGGGGAGACUGGAAUUCCUGGUGUAGCGGUUAAAUGCGCAGAUAUCAGGAGGAACACCGGUGGCGAAGGCGGGUCUCUGGGCCGGAACUGACGCUGAGACGCGAAAGCGUGGGGAGCAAACAGG